AGGAGGUUUCCGGCACCGGCUGAGGGAAACCGGAGAGGACGGCUGAUUAAGUAGCUACCACCUUGAAGAUCGAUUCUUGCUCCUCCAAGAUCAUUUAUACCUUCCAUCAAAACUCCAUGAUCUGGUCCAUCAAACGCAUCUUCCAUAGCUUUCAAUAUCGCAUUUGUGCUAUCCGCUUUCCCUGUUGGAUCGGCACCAUAUGAUAUCACUUGAUACACGCGUGGACCGGAUAGACUAUAUGAUGAUUUAUGGUAAAGAAUGUUGUAUAUUAUACCUGAGGAGGGGUGGGAGGAGGAGAUACGAAACCCGGUAGAUUUCGACGAACCAAAGAUGCCUUAACUACUUGCAGUUCUGCCAUAUGCCGUUCAUGAAGGGAGUCUUUACCGGCGAAGGCCACUUGACUCACAAUUAGAGUCAUGAUCGCCAACAAAACCGGCACGGCCACUUGAGUUUUCCUUGUCUCCAUGGUUUCCUCCUAUAAUAAUCCAAUGAGCCAACAAUAAGAGACUGGCUGAAGGUAAUGGCGUUGUGAGACAUUUAUAUAUAUGUAUUUUGUUAGCACAUGAAAAGAGAAGGGCCUAACUAAGGUUACCAAUGAAACAUUAUACAAAACUUUUGUCUUUUCUAUAGGGAGUCACACAUUUUGCACCCUUUUACAUUUUUGAUCUCCUUUUCAUAAUCACGAAACGUUCUAGACCUUAAUAUCUUCUAAACGCUCAGUUUUAUGAUAUUGAGUUACCGGUAAACCAGCCGUCUUUGGUGUAUA